AUGUCGUCGCCCAAUCUGGAGUUGGUGUGCUGGAAUGUGCGCGGCCUCAACAGCCCCGCGAAGAAAAAGGCGCUGCGGGAAUUUGCAGAUACGACUCACCUGGUGAUUUUCUGUAUUCAGGAGACUAAAUUGGCAUGUAUUGAUGGUUUUACGGUUAUGCAAUGUUUAGGCCCCGCCUAUGACGGGUUUGCUUAUCUUCCGGCGAUCGAGACCAGGGGUGGUAUCCUGGUUGCUUGGAAUUCUUCAUUGGCGCGUAUUUCGAACCACGUACUAGACACAAAUUUUAUCACUGGCUACGUGACACCCAUCGAUGGUGCGCCCUGGUGGCUAACCACCGUCUAUGUCCCGCAUGAAGAUGAGGAGAAAAUCGCCUUCCUGGAAGAACUAACUGCUAGAAGGCAGCUCUGUCCGGGGCCAUGGCUUGUCAUUGGCGACUUCAACAUGAUUAUGCAAGCCUCGGACAAAAGCAAUACGAACCUGGAUAGGAGAAUGAUGCACAGGUUUCGCCAAUUCGUUGAUGGCAUUGGUUUGAAAGAAUUGUUCCUGCACGGCAGGAAGUUCACUUGGAGUAACGAACGCGAGGCCCCAACCCUCACCAAAAUUGACAGAGCGCUGGUCUCGGUUGAUUGGGAGAUGGAGCACCCGGAUUGCCUCCUGCAGGCUCUGUCGACGGCCUCAUCGGACCACUGCCCGCUGCACUUGGCCCUACAUGAGCAUUUGCACCCACACCGGAGGUUUAGGUUUGAGCUUUUCUGGACGAAGCUCGAGGGAUUUGAGGAUGCGGUGAGAGAAGCCUGGCAAUGCGACCCGGAGAUCACCGACCCUUUUAAGAGGAUUGAUCUCCUGCUCAGGAACACGGCGAGAUUUCUUACGGCUUGGGGUCAGAAGAAAACGAGCAAUGUUAAGCUGCUUAUAGCUAUUGCCAAUUGGGUUAUUUUCCAACUGGACGUCGCUCAGGAAAGAAGGAGGCUCUCUGAGGGAGAGAGGUGGUUGAGGAGAACACUCAAGCUGACCACCUUGGAUCUAGCUUCGCUCGAGAGGACAAUUGCAUGGCAGAGGUCUAGAAUUAGAUGGCUCCAGGAUGGUGACGCCAGCUCCAAACUGUUCUACCUCGUGGCCAACGGCAGGAAAGUUAAGAACUUCAUCCCGGCUAUCUCACAUGAGGGAAACCUGAUCACAUAUCAAAUUGGCAAGGAACGCAUCUUCUAUGAUUCAUACAAGGAGUUGCUGGGUACGACCACAGCUUGCGAGCACACUCUGGCCCUAGACUUUCUAGGCAUCACACCCUCAAACUUGGAGGAUCAGACCGUGAUAUUUACAGAGGAGGAGGUGUGGACAACUAUCAAGGAGAUGUCCUCGGACCGUGCUCCGGGUCCGGACGGAUUUAUUGGAAUAUUCUUCCAGAAAGCAUGGAGCAUCAUCAAGGAUGAUAUUAUGGCAGUGAUACACAAGAUCUUCAUGGAUAAUGGGCAUGGCUUUGGCCGGCAACCAGGCCUUGAUUACUCUCAUUCCCAAGAG
rnacentral:rRNA from 1 species